CGAAGCUUCCUGAACCAGCGAAGCUUUGUUUGAACUUCUAUCGAAAAAGGUUCCUUUCUCUGCGUUUAAAACCAUGUACAUAAAUGACAUCUAGUGGUUAAAAAGGUGAACUGCACUUAUAACUUCGCUCUGCUAAAUUGACUCUACUAAAUCUUGAUCUCCAACGCAUUUAAAAUAACCUAAUUUGUUUGUAAAGCACUACAGGUAAUUACUAAACAUGACUUUUGAGUUAUAUCACCUUACAGGUCAUCUUUACAGCUGAUAUUUCGCAAAACUCCUCUUAUAAGGUCUACACAACUAUACAGAAAUAACCUUUCCUUAUUAUUUCACAUUUAAGUUGCCUUAAAACCAUGAACAACUACCGGUUCGUUUAUAUUGAAUACGUUUUUCAACGAUAUCACGUGAUUGUAUCCAUAAGCUUCAGAGGUCAUGGGUCACAUGGGUUUUUUCAGCGCAAACCCUAUUCAACGAUCAACACAGUUCUCCGGUGUAAAGUGUCCACUGAAGCAACAUAUCAGCCAAAACCUCCAGUAUACUGAGUCUACCAUCCAAAGCAUCCAUUGAUCAGCUCUCCAGUGUCCUGAGUCUGGAACCACCAAUGAAGCAACAAUUCUCAAUCAGACUAAGUUUGCCAUCCUAGGACUUUAGUACACAACACAGUUACAUGUACACACUUCAUCACUAUUUACACUACAACUUCCUAAUUUAUUUCAUACAAAGCACAACCUAACUUUCACUACAGCUGUCACACCAUUACAGAAUAUUCCACCCUGCUAGAACACUUGUUUCUCAAAUAUAAAUUGUCAUGGAUUAACACUGAUACACUCUCAUGCACACUACCUUUUAUAAUAAUUGCCUUAAAUUGUCUAAAUUGUCACAUCCACUACUCUUACACCUUUACCACUUUACAUUACUUAUACACACAUUAUUUUUGAUUAUUAAUACAUUCAUUGUCACUUCAUUUACUUCUAUAUUUCUCUUACUUGGUAUUUCCAAUUUGCAUUACUUUAAUGUCCAAAAUGUCAUAUUGACCCACCCAUCUUUCAGUGACAACCUAUUUCCCUUACAGUUUUCACAUUUCUUACUAAAACAUACAUUUUUCUUAACUGUUCCACACUAUUGAUCACAUUGCCUUCAUUUGCAGCUCUACACACACAGGCUCCCUCUACACUAAUGCCACCCCUUUUAGACAUUAUGCUCAUACAAAUCACAAACUAAAAUGCUUAACCAAGUAGACAUCAUUCAGCAAAAAGACUUUUACAGUAAUUACUGCACAACUCCUAAAAAUAUUCAUAGUACAUAACAAAAUAAUGACACAUGACUUGUACUUGUACUUAACACAACUUUGUCUCUUCAUUUCUAAGUUCAUAACACCAUAACUAAAGUCAACAACUCUCCCUCUCUUCUGUCUCUCAACACACGAUUAUAGCUGUAACUCAGCCAGCAUUUCUCUGGAAUCAUACACUUCACAACCAACACCUACAUCAAAACACUGAUCACACAACAACUCCCCUGUCCUGACUGUUACGCACAAGAGCUCAAGUGAGACAAACAUUACUUUAACAACUUGCUGAUAUUUUCUAUCCUUCUUUCUAGGUGUCCACUGAAGCUACACAUCAGCCAACCACUCUCCAGUAUCCUGAGUCUGGCAUCCAGGGGGUCCAGUGAACCACUGAUACACCCACAACUCUCCAGUAUCCUGAGACUGGGACCCAUGGGGUCCAGUGAACCACUGAUAGAGCAGCAACUCUCCAGUAUCCUGAGUCUGGCACCCAAGGGGUCCAGUGAACCACUGAUAGAGCGAAAACACUUUAAUCACCCACAGUCUCCAGGGAAACAGCGUGUACUACAUUGUGGAAUUUACUGAAGAGAAUCUAGUUGGCAUCGUGACUCAGUGCCGGACCUAUGAAGAAAAUGGGCAACAGUAGAGUUACUGGCCACCAAACAAUCCUACCAAAAGGGCGAAAAAGGAGGAGAUCCCAGAUGAACACAGCUGGAUUUCCAGAAAAAUCCAUGUCUUUGCCACAACAGAAAGCCCUCAGAUGGAGCUGAACUGUGGAGUACAGAUAUACUGUGGAAAGUGACAAAGAGAUCAUGCAUCCAAAAAGGCCACCAAAAGACCCAUCAAAUAUGGAGACAGCAGUGAGGAUGAGAGACCUUUGCAAACAAAGGAUACUUGGGAGCCUCCAACUAAGAAAAAAUUUCAAGGUCUCAAGCAGUUGUAUAGAAACAAGCUAAGCUUCCCACACCCGCCAGUCACCAUCCUGUGUACAGGAAAACCAGAAUCGAUCAAAAUGAACUACCAGACACAUCACACUCCAUGGCUGUGGCACAAGACUUAAUCAAUGAUGGUGGACCAUCAUGGGCAAGAACUACUUGGGAGCCUCCAAUACAGAGUAGAUUUCAAGAAACACUUCAAAUUCCACUUCAAAAAGUAAAGACUCUGGCUGCAAACCAGAGGGAGAUGCUACUUCUGUUGCAGAAGAGCCAGGGGAGACAAAGGGAGGGAGAGACAACUUUAGAGCUAAAUGUAGCACAGACCAAAGAAGACCUCUACAACAUCGAACACCAACUCAAAGAGGCAGAUUUCAGAAGGAAAGUGGCACUGAAGCAGGCAACAAGCUGAGGGCUUCGAACUGGUUACCGGAGGUGAAACUCGGCGGGGGGAGGAAUUGGUGAAAACCUUCUCUUUCCCCGGCCACGCUGGCGUUCCCAGCCCUGCUCUGGCACGGGCAUGAAGACGGGCAAUCCUGGUGUUAAACGUGGCAGUAGCGCUCCAUCCGGCAGAGUAGAAGUCGCCACCGGGCUUGGUCUUGAAACAGCUGUGUAGGACGCGUCCCGGGCUGCUUCCAAAUGGGUUUUCCACUCGUGGAGCUCGGUCUGCUGCUUUAGGAGAGCCCUGAUCUGCUGAUCCAACUGCAGCAUCCUGCUCAGCGUCCGGAGCUCACGUUAAGUGGCGGCCGCCGUUUUGUCAGCGUCCAAACAGAGAAAUAAAGGUUAGUUAAAACUGAAAACAAAAAUCAAUGUUGUAAGGGUAACACAGCAAGACACAAAAUAAGUAUUUAGUUAAAGCAGGUAACCAGAAGGGUUAAUAGCAAGAUAAAAGAGCAAAAAAUAACAAUCAGUAAACGAGCAAACCCAAACGUGCGAAAUGUACGACCUGUUCAGUCAAAAAUGGCGUCAACUAAACUAAAUUUCUUGGUACUGUUCUAAGAAUUUUAUGUUAGGGACAUGAUGUUAGGUGUUGGCACCUGUACUUGUUUUUUCAUUGGCUUUAGUAAUUUCAUUGCAAUUUCUUAUCAACCAUGGAGACUAGUCAGGGAUUUAUUAUAUCCUCUAUCCUUAAUUGUAGUUUUAAUUCCUGGGCCUUGGACCUUUGCCUCAGAAUCAUGGCCCAGAUUUCAUUCUUUUAAGGCAAAAUGGCAGGGUUUUCAGUAUAUGACCCUUGGCCUGGGCCUGUGUUGUGUAUUAGAGAGUGGGCCCAUGACCUUUGGCUCAAAGUACAGUUUAAAAAAUUUUUAAGCCUAAAAGUCUGGGUCAUGGUUACUAGGUCUUCUCUCAACAAUUUAAUUCCCUAUUCUAUUGUAAUAUGAUAGAGGCUUCUGGGCCUGUGUUUAAGAGCUUAUGUCCCAUCUUACUCUUUCAAAAUGAAAGCAGUUUCUUUUCGUCAGUGGCCUUCAUUCAGAAGUGCAGUUAUAAGACCCUGGUCUUUAGCCUCCAAAUUACCAUUCAAAUAUUAAAGUUCCUAUUCUAAGAGGUCGGGCCUUAUUUUAAGGGAUUUUGUGAUAGUGAUGAUGGAGAUUUUGAAUAAAUAUUCCCUCAAUCAGUAAUCAAAUAUAUUAGCUAUUGUAAUCAUUAAUCAAAUAGGUAGUAUUGGCUUACAGAUAAUAUUAAUUCUCUCACAGAGGGUAGGCCUUUGUCUGUCUGCAUAGGAGAUUCUAGACACUGGAAAGCCCCUGGGUCCACAAACAGGCCUGUGUGUACUUACUGACCCAGAGAACAGAGGGACAAGUUGACCUUGAAAGGUAAAGCAGACUGGUAAAAAUUGGUUGAAACUAAUUUUUAGGAGUAAGCGCAACAAGCGAUGGCCAAAUUGAUGGAUGUAGAGUUGCACCUAUUAGAGAACAAGCUAAUAUCAAAAUUUGAGAAGUAAGGUGGGGGGAUAUCAAAUUACCCCACAUAAAUGGUAUAUAAACAGUUGUUUGGAACAUUGUUUGCGCAGUUGCUAUGCCAUCUGAUGCUGAACUAGAGAAGAAGCCUUUUUCCCCUCUUUCCACAAACUCAGCGUCUGAAGACUCUUUCUUUUUUUGACAUCUUUUGAGAACUUAGAGCAGUUAUUAAAGAAAGUGUUAAGCCAGUAUUAAAACAUUUCUUUUUUAUUCAUAAUAUUUUGUUGGAGGGGAUAGCCCUUGGUCCCCACAGUGAUAUGAUGCUGGGACCUGGUCUCAGAGCUCUUAUUCCAUAUUUUAUUCUUUAGAGUCCAAAUGGCUGGCCCAUGCAACUGGAUCUUUGCCUGGGUUUUAGGUCUUUCAUUUCAACAUUAUUGUCC